UUCACAGCUCAGGCCAAAAUCUGGAGGAGAAGGGGGGUGGGGGGGGAGAACACUGAAGAGGAAGGUGUCGGAAGCAUCAGCAGUAAGAAAACAUGUCAACAGGAUAAAAUAUUAACCAAUGACAGCAGGAAAAGGACCGUGCAUUCCCACCCCCUGCCUGCCUGCAGGAGUCCUCAGGACCGGCCUCAGACAUGGUCCCAGCCGCCAGGGUCAGCUCCUAUGGAGAGGACAGCCUUGUGUUCAUGCAAUGUACAGGGAAUCACAUACACUAAGAUUGUAUGGAUAGCUAGAUUCUAGAGGAUAGACAGGCACAUAUAAAGUGUAGCAGGCUGCAUCCAUCCCGGAGCAGGACAGUAGUACAGAUCCCCCCAUGGACAGGCAGCAGAGCUGUGGAAUGGAGCAGCACUAUACUGUAGGAGCAGGAGGCAUGAAAACUGCCUAGAGGUGGGGCCCACUCAUCACUGCUGUAUGAGAAGCCCACUGACUGGCACACAGUGCAGGGACUGGCUGGUACUAUGAUUGUAUUAGCGUGUGUAUGGGUGCAGCACUGUGUGUACACGCGGAGUAUGGGGGGACUGACUACAAGUGGCCUGUGUGUACGCUCCAGGGCAUUGCCGCUUUAAAUCCCAGCCCUGAGGUCAUUUGCACAGUUCAAAAAGGAAAGAAGCUUUCUUCACAUGGGAAGCAGCCGCUAGUAAAUGGAGCUCAAGAAAAAUUACACUAAACUUGGCCCAGGAGAUGAAAGCAGUUCCAGAUGGGGAGACUGCCGAUUUCAUUUAAGCUAGAGAAAACAAUCAGGAUUUCAAUGCUUGAAAAACUCCAGAAGUUUUCAUCGGAGAAUAUAAAAUAAUUAAUCCAAAGCUAUAUAUUUGUAUAUAUAUUAUACAUAUAUAAAAGAUCCCUUUAAUUGUGGAAGGUUACUUCCUUCUGGAUCCCCAGUGAUUCCGCUGCACUGUGCACAUGGCGGAGUUUCCGCCACUUAUGUUUCUGGCACUGAAAUCCCGAAUCUGGUGUCCGCUGAAAGAAUAGACUUGACUAUUCUUUAUGUGGAUUCCACUCAGAAAUGCAUUGCCAUCUGUGAGACAGUGCAUUUCUGGGUGCUCUGUUCACCAGUGUUUUCCAGGCCUUAGGUGGCCAUCUUUUACCUACUACAGCUUCUUCUCAAGUCUGUUCUAGUUGUGUCCAAAGUAAGGGCCAGCAUGUUGGUGGACAACAGAAAAUCAACCUGUUAUAAGUCCCCCCCUCUAUAUGUUAUCAAUAAAUGCUGUGCAGAACCCAACAUCACCCCUUCUAUGGCACUGUUAUUUAUUCUUAAUAAAGAUAAUUUUCAGUGGUUGUUUGGGUAAGGAAUCAACUAGCCAUACAAUACUGUGGAUACUUCUUGUCUUGUUGCUCGUUGUGCCCCCUCCCGAUAGCGGAUGUUACCCUCUUAAGGACUCAGCAGGGUUCAUUUGCUUCUUUUUUGCGCCUUUUGGUUCACACAUUUCUGCUGACUUUUAGUUACAAUCCACUGAUUUUGGUAAUACACGAUAUGGAAGGGUUUUAUGAACUGCGCUUUUUUUGUGAAAAGGCACAAAAAAUGCGUAAAGCCACUGAAAAGUCUCUAAAACGACACUAGCCAAGACUUAGCUUAGAUUUUUGGUGUAUGCUCUGUGACCGUUUCAUAAAUGUGGUGCUCCUACACAUUACCAGCACACAAAAAAAAAGGUGUAGAAAAAUGCUUCACUUACACCUACAAUUAUAAAUGCCGGCCAGUAUGUUUAAAAUUGUCAUUUUCUGACCCCUAUAACUUUUUUAUUUUUCUGCCUAUGGGGCUAUAUGAGGGAUAAUUUUUUUGUGCCGUGGACUGUAAUUUUUAUCAGUACCAUUGUUUUCGUUGGACUUUUUGAUAAUUUUUGAUAAAUUUUUUAUGGUAUAUGAAGUGACCAAAAAUGUACAAUUUUGGACUUUUUUUUUAUGUGUACGCCAUCGUAUACCAUGCAUAUACUGAUGACAAGGAGGCAGGUAAGGUCUCUCCCACCAUCCUCUCAGCUGAUUGGGACAUUGUGGUUUUACCACGAUGGUUCCGAUCAGCUCAGCUGAGCUGCCGGGAUACUUUUAGUUUCGAUGACUGGCAUUAAAGGGGUACUCAACCGGAAAACAUCUUAUCCUCUAUCCAAAGGAUAGGGAUAAGAUAUCUAAUCACAGGGGUACCGCCGCUGGGUACCCCCGUGAUCUCCGGUGCAGCACCCCAGUCAUCCCGGAUGACUGGCGACAACAGCUAUCACACCCCCUCCAUUUAUGUCUAUGGGAGAAGGUGUGAUGACUACGUACUAGAUGCCAUGCCUCCUCCCAAAGAGAUGAAUGGAGGGGGCAUGGUGUGACAUCACGACCAUGGAAGCUCAAAGCUUCCGUGUUCCGGACGCCGCCGCUGCUGGUCCAGAGAUCGCGGGGAUUCCAAGGGGCAGGACCCCUGUGAUCAGACAUCUUAUCCCCUAUCUUUUGGAUAGGGGAUGAGAUGUUUUCUGGCGGAGUACCCCUUUAACCCUUUAGAGACUGCAAUCAAAGUUGAUGAAAGUGUCUAUAGGGUUAAUGCCGGGCAUCGGC